rnacentral:rRNA from 1 species
UACGUAGGGGGCAAGCGUUGUCCGGAUUUAUUGGGCGUAAAGAGCGUGUAGGCGGCCAGAUAGGUCUGUUGUGAAAACUCGAGGCUCAACCUCGAGACGCCGAUGGAACCCAUCAGGCUAGAGUCCGGAAGAGGAGAGUGGAAUUCCUGGUGUAGCGGUGAAAUGCGCAGAUAUCAGGAAGAACACCCGUGGCUAAGGCGGCUCUCUAGUACGGUACUGACGCUGAGACGCGAAAGCGUGGGGAGCGAACAGG